rnacentral:rRNA from 1 species
GAUCAAGUGUCUUAAGGGCAAUUGGUGGAUGCCUUGGCAUGCACAGGCGAUGAAGGACGUGAUACGCUGCGAUAAGCUACGGGGAGGUGCGAAUACCCUUUGAUCCGUAGAUUUCCGAAUGGGGAAACCCACCUAAGGUGCUUGGAAAAUCAGAGCAGCCAGUGGUCGACAAGGCCAACUUGCUGCUGUGGUUUCCAAGGAUCUGUAAUAGGUAACUUAUCCUGAAUACAUAGGGAUAAAGUGGCGAACGCGGGGA